CAUCAGCGCAGAGAACGAUCAUUAGUGUCAUUCAGUUCUCGCGGAAUGAUAGAACAAGUAGAAAAGCUUUUUCAGUGUAACCUCCAAUACAAAAUGAAUGAAGAAUGAAACAUUAAAGGGAGAGAAAAAAUUACUUUCAUGGCGAGAUGUCAUACUAAACGUUCACCAAAACCACGACCUCCAAGAUCGUGACCAAAACCAAUGGAAAUGUGUUUCACUUAUUCACAGUGGAUUUUUCUGAGCAUAGCCAUGGCAGAAAAUUGGGCUUCAUCACUGAAUUAAAUUUUCUAAAUAAAGUUGUUGCCAACUUGCA